ACUUAUUAAGACCACUUUUCGAAUUUGAACUACCUUACAGAAGAAUUUUUUUCGAGUGAUUUGUGUUGUCAAUCUGAUAGCCCUUUUUCUUGUGCACAGCUCUGCAUCGAAAUUUCCAGUUUGAAAAAACUUUUGAAAUCAUGGCUAGGGUAAUUGUCUUCCACUCCGCUCGAGCAACUUUCAAGAGUCCAUCCAAAGUUGUCGCGCGCCGUGAGAAAAGCUUUUGUUUUAGAUAACCGAAGCCGAAAAAAUCUAAAGGACUAUUCCAAUAGUAUUGGACAACCCGCUGCGGUGGGAAUUUGAAAAAAAGGGUUGACAAUUUGCCAAAAAUUAUUUUGAUUUCUUAUAGUCCAAUUAAAGAGCUUUCCAACGGUGUAUCACACAUGUUAUUUCAAAAUGGUUAAAGGUAGAAGAAGUUGGAUUGAAAGCAAGGAGUUGGAAAAAAGAGUGACCGAGUUCUAUAAAAACAAGGCAAACAGUGGCUUGAAAAUGACCUGGCAUUUUUUUAAACCAGAAGGAAUCCCAAGGGCAAAUAUGUACUCUUAUAUAAAAAAGGUCAAGGAAUCCGAAUCUGUCGAAUUCAAAAAGCCAAGUGGUCGUCCUGUGAAGCUGGGAACCACCAAAGUGAAAAAUCGCAUCAGAAAAAUUUUCAAAACCCAACCCUCCACGCCAACGACUGUAGCCGCCAGAAAAAUUAAUAUUUCUCAAAGCUACUUAGUGAAAAUUAAAAUACACAAACUAGGCAUCAAAACCAGAACCAAAAAACCGGCACCAAAUUACAAGAAUACGCAAAAAUCCAGAAUUGUAGAAUGUCGUAAGAAGUUUUUGAAGAAAAUGUGUGGAAAAGUGGUCAUCAUGGACGACGAGACUUACGUUCCGGUGGACCCUUCAAAUGUUCCAGGGAGACAUUUGUACCACAGUAGUAACCCUUCUGAAGUUGUGUAUGAAGAAAAAAUAAGAAAAAAUGACAAAUUUCCGACGAAAUUUUACAUUUGGCAGUGCAUGUCGGGUGAUGGUCACGUUUCAGACCCUGUCACUUUGGACUGUAAUAUAAACUAGUACGUGUAUCUUAAAAAGUGUAUCAAACAAGGGUUGGAACCAUUCAUAUAAAAGGUUCAUAAAAAUGACACAAUCCAGUUUUGGCCUGACUUAGCAACUAGUGAUUAUGCAAAGAAAGUGACCGAAUACCUCAUGUCAUCAAAUAUUGAUUUCGUUCGAAAAGAUGAGAACCCUCCCAAUGUACCGCAACUUCGACCAAUCGGGAAAUUCUGGGCACUUUCAGAAUCUGAAUACUCAAGGCUAAAAGAAAAACCCGACACAUAAAGAAAAUUCAAAGGGCGAUGGAAGAAAAUAAGCCUUGAAGUUGGAAGAAAGUCGGGAAAAAAUUUGAUGCGAAAUCUUAGAAAGAAAAUCGAAUUGGUGGCUCAAGGGGGUGUGGCCGCCUUAUCGAUUAAUUAAAUUAUAAUGGUAUUUUUUCGUAACUGUCCAAUACUAUUGGAAUAGUCCUUGGUGACGGUGACGUAUCGGUGACGUAUCGGGGGACUUCACGUGCAUUUAUUUAUUCGAAAUUAUUAUAAUCCCAAAUUUUUCAUGAAUGGUCUUGGCGUAGUCAACGACUUUCUUGGCGGUGUGUGAAGAAGCUUUAUCGUGAUGAAUGAGGAUCUUGUUAACCUCGCCAUGAUAGAGUUCCGGAAGAAUAACUUCUACUAAUGGUUUUAAAACACUGACAAUGUAUACUUGUUCAUUAAUCUUUACUUCUGGGGGCACUUUGAUAAGAUAAACUGGUCCACAGCCAGUCAGAAGGCCGACCACCAUGAUCUUCUCUCCGUAGCUUCCGCGCCCGUGCAACGCUCAACUAUCUUGAAUUUUUUCACCCUUGUCGACGUACAAAUUUUUCUUUCUGCCUGGCUGUAAUCAAGAUAGACUCAAGCCUCAUCUAUUGUGGCAACAAACUCACUUCUAUUCUUCGCCAGGUGGUUUGUGUAAAGCUUUUUUGAUUGGUCCUCCGAUUUGCAAUGUGAGAUGGCUUCUAGACGUCUACCUUCGUUUUCCGUCGAACUUCUUUAUUCAAAUCUUGAUAAAUGACUUACCUGAUUGUCGGUGUGCUUAUUUCCGCAACCCUUGCAAUCGCUCUUUGUCUUUGGGGGUUUUCUUUCUCGAUUCCCUCUGGACGCGAGAAAUGAGCGUUUUCGUCCUUUUCACUUUGGGGUCAUUUGGGGGUGGUUCUGUACACCUCGGUUUAUUGCAUCACGCUGAAUUCCAUCACCAUGAAUCACAUUAUACAAUCAUAUCUUAAUUAUUUCGAAUCCGUGGUUUUUAACUUGUUAGCAAUGUCUCUUUGUGAGUACUUCUCCUUGGAAGGCGUUUUUACAACACGACCAACUCUGGUGGGUGCCAAUUUGGCAUUUUUGAGUAAAACUUUUUCAAAAAAUUAUGCUAAGUGGUAGAAUGUCUACCCAACGACAUAUGCAAAUUUCGCGGCAUUCGCCUUAUCGAAUCUUUUUCUAUGGCUAUUCUUAAAUGGUCUUAAUAAGUAUCCUCACGCUGUAAAAAGUUGCGACCCUGGUUCUCAUAAAAUUGUUGGAAGUCCAGAAGAAACCAAAAAUGGGGUUGCAAAUAAUAAUUUGCAAGGUUGCAUUUUGCGCAUUCCUGGUGGCCACAAUUUUAGUUGGUGACACUGUAACAAAGGGUGUUGCUCAAAUUGAUGAUACAAUGUUUUGGGGCGAGUCGAGAUCAGUCGGUAUUCUGGUGGAUAACUCGUCUUGCGUGGGGAAUGGGGAUCCCCCUAUUCUACCCCCCGUUUGUGGAUCCUAACGACAACUCUGUGUACUAUCAAUGCUUCUGGAUUAAUGAUCCUGCCUGCCAAUGCGAUUAUUGGUACAUCUAUCCUUUUCCAGAAAUCGCCCUGUUUUUACCUUUCUUGGAAAAAUGAGAUUAGAAUAAAAUAAACCAAACGGACUAUCUACUAUAUAAAAAUAGUUAUAUUUCUAAUCCAGCUUCUCUGGAGAACGCACCAUUUUCGGUACACUUUAAAAAUAACUCACCCUCCCCAAAGGUGAUGCCUUUACGUAUAAUACCUCAACUUUCCAAUUUACGUGUACCAGUCUUCACCUCGCGCUAGAAUCGAACUUACAUAUUUCGAGUUGUUCAAAAAAUUAAAUUCUAAUUUCGAAAAACUUCAAUUACAGUUAAAUUUUACUUAAUUACUCAUUUAACCGAACCCGGAUUAAUUUCAGUUUGAAAAAUUCUAAAACCGGUUUUAAUCAAGAAAUGAAAUUUCUCCUCCAUGUCGCGUUUCUAUUCGUAAUUAUUUCCUCAUUACGAAGCCAAACCUAUGCUCACACGAACAACGAAUCGUCAUUUAUCCGCAUCCAGGAUAAGGCCAGCAUUAAAUGCAACCAACAACUCAAACAAAUCUCCAAUUUGUGGCGAGAUCUGAACAAAUUGCGGAAUUCCGUGAAAAACAGCACCAUCGACCCAAACCUCACUUUGAAUAAGGACCCCGUCCCCAAAUUCCAGUCCAACACGUUGAAAUAUUUCGUCGAGUUGGGCCACGCUAUUGACCAAAUCGAACUCGCAGUUUCCAUCUACAAUCGCAAAGAGAUUAUCUGUGUUUCCAAAAAUUCCCAAGAAUUACUUCCGAAUUUGGCCACGACAUAUGAUCUCAUUCAAAAAAGACGGAUAAUUUUUCCCAAGAAUUUUCCACCGUGUUGGAAAGCAUUGGACGCGACCGGUCAAUUUUAAAAGACUGGAUUCACGCUGCCAAAUCUUUAUCGGGGCGACUUGAGAAAGUUGAGAAUAUUGGGGACAUAAAGUUAUGGACAGGGUUUCGAUUUUCCCGUCCAAAACUAUUUUUUCCCACGGCAGGUGGGAAAAAGUGGGACAAACCGGGAAAAAUGGUAUUUACCGUCCAGAACGGGAAAAAUGGCGGUCCAUGUGUUUAGUAAUGGGGAAAGCCAACUUCUUUAAUACUCAAUAUUUUCGGAAUUCGACUUCAUAUUCGUCAUCUCCAUCAAAUUCUGAAAAUUUUGGUAUAUAAUACGGCCACUUUUGAACAGUUUUGAACAGUUUUGAACUCUUUCCCCAUUUUUCCAUAUGAAUACAUGCUAAUUUUAAAGAUUGCUCGAUUUUAACCGAGUUACCCACUUAUUUGCUCAGAAUUUCAUGGAGAAUACGAAUAUGAACUCAGAUUUUGAAAAUAUUAAGUUUUCAAGAAGUUGUUUCGCAUCGCCCCAAAGCACAGUAUUUCCCAUUUCUUCCGUUUUUCCCAUUUCCCACCUAUUUUGGGUGGAUGGUAAAAAUGCCUUUUUCCCACUUUUUCCCACUGCCCUGGUCAAUUUGGUUUUUACCAAUCGAAACCCUGGUUAUGGAAAGGACAGAUCGCAGUCAGCCUGCGUGACAAGAAUUUCACAGCGAGUAAAGAAGAUUUGAUGGAGCCGAAAUUUUUCGAAAUUAUGCGUGUAUUUGAAACCUUGAAAAAUCAGACCAGUCUUGGACAUAAGGUCAGGGUUGCAGAAAUCUCAUCUCGCCUUCACAAAUCUCAUCUCACUGAGAUAUAAUGAGAAAUAGUGAGACAUGAGAAAUAUGAGAUAUAGUGAGAUUUGUGAGCCAUGCACUAGCGCCACCUAGCGGACGGGGUCAUGAACUACAAGUUUAGCUCAUUAAUUCUCAUAUUUCUCACUCAGCCCCAACUGAGAUGAUUGAUAUAAAUCAUUAAAUCUCACUAAAUCUCGCGAAGUGAUAUAUACCACUUGCAACCCUGCAUAAGAAUUCCAAAAAAUAUUUGCUCGACUUUCUUUCCCAAGAUAAUACAGAAAUCUUAGGAAAAACUAUACCUGCGAUGAUUGGGAGGACGAGGCAAAUUGAGAAAUAUUGCGAGCAUAUGGUGAAAGAGCUGAAUGAUGUCGAAGUAUUAAUUAGGGGCUGGAAGGUGCGAAUCUCACGUCUGGAUGCAGAGUUCCGGAGUAUGUUGGGAAUACUACAAUUGAAAAGUCUUAAGUUUGAAGAAGACCUUAAAAACUGCUUGAUCGCUGAUUACCAAGCAUUGAAUGGUGGGAAAUCCGGGGGUAAAUAUUUGAAGAGGUUGGAAUUCAUGAUGAGGGACGAGUUUUGAAUUUAUGGGCAUUUUUUAGUCCUUCACGAGUUCCGUGCCGUGUAAAAUUUAUUUUCCGUAACAAUUUAAUUAUUUAGAUAUUCUAUUAGACAAAUUUGAAAAAGAAGGUUUAAUUUGGACUGUUCAAAAGUGCUAAAAUAAGUCCGCUCCACAUUCCACUUUAUCCUAUUAAAUAAAAUGAGUUUCUUAUAUAC